rnacentral:rRNA from 1 species
UACGUAGGGGGCUAGCGUUGUCCGGAAUCAUUGGGCGUAAAGAGCGCGUAGGCGGCCCGAUAAGUCCGCUGUGAAAGUCAAGGGCUUAACCCUUGAAUGCCGGUGGAAACUGUCGGGCUAGAGUCCGGAAGAGGCGAGUGGAAUUCCUGGUGUAGCGGUGAAAUGCGCAGAUAUCAGGAAGAACACCCGUGGCGAAGGCGGCUCUCUGGGACGGUACUGACGCUGAGACGCGAAAGCGUGGGGAGCGAACAGG